AUCUCUGCCUACCUGAGGUCUUCUGAAGGAGUUGAACAUCAGGGAGGAGUUUGUACUAUCCUGCACUGAAAUCUUCCUACCAGGAAAUUUGAGCAAUGUGGCUUUGGGCCACAUUGUUUAGAGACAGACCAUUGAGGUCCAAAGGAAGGACCCAACUUGCUUCCUGUUGCUCUCACUUCAAUCUGCUAACAGUCUGGUCCUUCUAGGACCAGCUGGUCUAGAGAAUGAAGGCUCCUGCAGACUGAGGCUCCACGGUGGUGCUGGCAGAUGAGCUUCCAGUCCUCACCUACCACAAGACUUUUUUCUCAUCCCAGUGUUAGAAGUAUCUGUUUAUUGUAGCAAAACUGAGAAGUAUUGUAAAUAUUGCCAUCUUGGGACAUCAGAAAAUUAAACAAGUCCCACGGCAUGGUCUCAAACUGUGAACUGGAAUGUGCUGUGUGAAAUCGCAUAGUGGACUGCCAAAGCCAGCCAGCUCAGAGAUGGGUGCUACAUUGGUAUUUUAACAAGCACUUUGUAUUUACCUACUGAAGAUGCUGAAUUUGGAGCCACACUUUCUUUAGAGCAACAUCCAGAGUCAGCUCUCUCACAUAAAAUUGCCAGCAGGCAUACAGAACUUUACAAAACAGGUUUAAAACAGGGAAAAAAACUGGAGCCUGUAGUUCCAUGAAUUCUGGUAUAUGACUACGCAUGGUAGCAGAAAGCAGGUGCUGGGUCUGGAAUCCUCUUUGGGGCAGCUCAGUAGAGUAGACAAAACAUGUGCAUGGUGCCACAGGUCUUCCCAAAUCAUCAUCAGUUUCUGAUUAUUUAACGCUAGAUGUUCUCUGGAGAUCUCUAAUCCUACCUGUUCCCCAAAGCAGAGAUAAAUCUGAUUAGCUGGAAUCAGCUUCUUGAGAAAAGCUUUCAAAAUGAUGGAAUCAAAGCAUUCACAUAAAUUGCCAGCUACUUUAUUGCAAAUGUAACAGAGAUCUUCAAUGCUUUAUAUUACCCUGUUCAACUAGAGGUCAUUUUUCCUAUCAAGUUAUUAGUUGCUUUUAGUUUUAUUUUUAUUUAAUCAAGGUCCCAACUUCCAUUAACAUUCAAUACCUAGUCUGUCAAAGGCUAUCUGACAACUAGUCCGGUAAUUACCACCAGGUUUUAUUUGUUCAGCCCUGGCCCUUAACCCCGGUGGCCUCCUGUCACCAUCACCCCUCUUCACCUGUCUGUGCAAACCACUGCCCACUUCUGAGACUUAAAGCCUGGAAGGUUUGUCAUAUAAACUGAAAGUUGGCUUUGCAGAGGGCAUUUUUUGUCUUGCAGAUAUGGUGGCAUGCAUGUGCAGACACCAGUAAUUUGGGCUAUUAUCUUGCAAACUUAAAUACAUAUCCAGUUAAGGUAAGUUCUGAAGAGUUGCAGACUUACAAGUCUUUUCAGAAUCCAGACCUUGAAUUUAGUGGCUUUGUUUUUAAUAUUUCAUAUGUAGAUACUCAGGCAUAUAAAUAUGCACAAGAACCGCAGGCUUCCCAGAAGCUUUGCUUCCCAUUCACACCUCCUAAAAGCAGCUGCUGGCUCAAGGGCUUGUCUGUAAAUCUGACCUGAAGGAUGGUCAGGAGGAAAGAUGCCUGUUUCAAAUUCAGUUCCUUUUCACAGUGUUUUAAGCCUAUAACAACGGGGCAGAUCCAUGCUAGCGAAAACCACUGCAAGAUGAGGUAAGAGCAGCAUUUUGCCAGGGAGAAUCAUCACUCCUUUUUCAUCAGUGCUUUUGUUUAGAUGGCUUUAGAUCUCUGAUUUAAUAGCAUAUAGUUCAUAGUGUGAGUCUCGUGUUCUUGUUUAUUCCUGGCUGAAAUCAGCAUUGAGUCACUACCGAAAUUAUUUACUUUGCUGUUGUCAAUAGAAACUAAAGGUCAAAUAAUCAGAAUGGAUAUAAUUUAGUAUCUGCUUGUAUUUUUGCUAAGAAGUAUUAAUAAAAUCAUUUGUUUGGCCAAGAAAGCUCCAU
ensembl:lncRNA